rnacentral:rRNA from 1 species
GAUGAACGCUGGCGGCGUGCCUAAUACAUGCAAGUCGAGCGAACAGAUGAGGAGCUUGCUCCUGUGACGUUAGCGGCGGACGGGUGAGUAACACGUGGAUAACCUACCUAUAAGACUGGGAUAACGUCGGGAAACCGGAGCUAAUACCGGAGAAUAUAUUGAACCGCAUGGUUCAAUAGUGAAAGACGGUUUUGCUGUUACUUAUAGAUGGAUCCGCGCCGCAUUAGCUAGUUGGUAAGGUAACGGCCUACCAAGGCAACGAUGCGUAGCCGACCUGAGAGGAUGAUCGGCCACACUGGAACUGAGACACGGUCCAGACUCCUACGGGAGGCAGCAGUAGGGAAUCUUCCGCAAUGGGCGAAAGCCUGACGGAGCAACGCCGCGUGAGUGAUGAAGGUCUUCGGAUCGUAAAACUCUGUUAUUAGGGAAGAAAAAAUGUGUACGUAACUAUGCACGUCUUGACGGUACCUAAUCAGAAAGCAACGGCUAACUACGUG